rnacentral:rRNA from 1 species
GAACGCUUUUGCGGUUUCGGCCGCAAGGGAGUGGCGGACGGGUGAGUAGCGCGUGGGAACCUGCCCCUUUGUGGGGGAUAACCGAGGGAAACUUCGGCUAAUACCGCAUAACAUCGCAAGAUCAAAGCAGCAAUGCGCUUGGAGAGGGGGUCGCGGCUGAUUAGCUCGUUGGCGGGGUAACGGCCCACCAAGGCGAAGAUCGGUAUCCGGCCUGAGAGGGCGCACGGACACACUGGAACUGAAACACGGUCCAGACUCCUACGGGAGGCAGCAGUGGGGAAUUUUGCGCAAUGGGGGAAACCCUGACGCAGCAACGCCGCGUGGAGGAUGAAGUCCCUNUGGGAUGUAAACUCCUUUCGAUCGGGACGAUUAUGACGGUACCGGAAGAAGAAGCACCGGCUAACUCUGUG